AAGUCGUAACAAGGUUUCCGUAGGUGAACCUGCGGAAGGAUCAUUAAAGAGUAUGGAGGGUUCUAUGCGAACCCGAUACUCAACCCUUUGUGUACGUACUGUGUUGCUUUGGCGGGUACCGCCAGAGGAUUUAUUCAACUCUGAUUUGAUGUGGUCUGAGUGAGAGAGAAUUAAAAAAAACUUUCAACAACGGAUCUCUUGGUUCUG
rnacentral:misc_RNA from 1 species